GACGAACGCUGGCGGCGUGCCUAAUACAUGCAAGUAGAACGCUGAAGGAGGAGCUUGCUUCUCCGGAUGAGUUGCGAACGGGUGAGUAACGCGUAGGUAACCUGCCUGGUAGCGGGGGAUAACUAUUGGAAACGAUAGCUAAUACCGCAUAAUAGUAGAUGUUGCAUGACAUUUACUUAAAAGGUGCAAUUGCAUCACUACCAGAUGGACCUGCGUUGUAUUAGCUAGUUGGUGGGGUAACGGCUCACCAAGGCGACGAUACAUAGCCGACCUGAGAGGGUGAUCGGCCACACUGGGACUGAGACACGGCCCAGACUCCUACGGGAGGCAGCAGUAGGGAAUCUUCGGCAAUGGACGGAAGUCUGACCGAGCAACGCCGCGUGAGUGAAGAAGGUUUUCGGACCGUAAAGCUCUGUUGUAAGAGAAGAACGAGUGUGGGAGUGGAAAGUUCACACUGUGACGGUAUCUUACCAGAAAGGGACGGCUAACUACGUGCCAGCAGCCGCGGUAAUACGUAGGUCCCGAGCGUUGUCCGGAUUUAUUGGGCGUAAAGCGAGCGCAGGCGGUUAGAUAAGUCUGAAGUUAAAGGCUGUGGCUUAACCAUAGUACGCUUUGGAAACUGUUUAACUUGAGUGCAAGAGGGGAGAGUGGAAUUCCAUGUGUAGCGGUGAAAUGCGUAGAUAUAUGGAGGAACACCGGUGGCGAAAGCGGCUCUCUGGCUUGUAACUGACGCUGAGGCUCGAAAGCGUGGGGAGCAAACAGG
rnacentral:rRNA from 1 species